CUCGCGAAAGCCGUUGAUGACCUUGCCGACGAUGUAGGCGCCCUUGUUGCGGAAGAACAGCGAGGCCAGCACCU
rnacentral:tRNA from 1 species